AUACGGAGGAUGCAAGCGUUACUCGGAAUCACUGGGCGUAAAGCGCGCGCAGGCGGUCUUUUAAGUUGGAUGUGAAAGCCUACGGCUCAACCGUAGAACUGCAUCCAAAACUAUUAGACUAGAGUGUGGGAGAGGAAGAUGGAAUUAGUUGUGUAGGGGUAAAAUCCGUAGAGAUAACUAGGAAUACCAAAAGCGAAGGCAAUCUUCUGGAACACUACUGACGCUGAGGCGCGAAAGCGUGGGGAGCAAACAGGAUUAGAUACCCUUGUAGUCC
rnacentral:rRNA from 1 species